rnacentral:lncRNA from 1 species
AGGAAUAUAAUAGUUGCUUUAAAGAACUUAAAGGUAAAUUACGUACAUGCAAUUUUUUGAACCCUCGUUUUAUAAGUUGAUACCAUAAGCCUAGUUGAACCUCUUUAACUUGAAUUUUUUAUAACAUGAAUUAUUUGUAAUUCCUGGUGAAAUUGCAUAACAAAUUAUAUUAUGUAUAAUUAAUGCAAAAUGUAUACAUAUGUACUGUAUAAUUUUUAUUAAAACUAAACAUAAUCAGAACAUAAGCAAAUGUUCUGUGCUCUUUUGAGCUCAUGUUUACAGUGUGUAACUGUAUAUAAUUUAAAAAUUUGUCAGUUUGAAAAUGUUUAUAUAUUUUUAACCUGCUGAUAUAAUAAGAAACACUAGGGAAGGUAGUAUUAAUUUAUAUGUUUAUAAAGCUGAAAACAUUUUCUAAUUAUCAUAUCAAAUGACAAUUUAGACACCAGAUGGUUCUCUAUUAAGCUAUCAUUCUGGGUUGCUGUUAUUGAAUGUGACAACUCUAAAUUCUAUAGUUUGAAAGUUGGUCCGAAAUUGACACCAGAGCAUGUGAGGCCAAAGUUUUACCAAAAAAUGAAUGUGGCUUUAGCUUUUCAGUGCUACUGUUGCUGCCGGAAUGGAAUUAUAUAAAGAUCACUCAGAAAACUUUAGCUGACAGUGAUGGAACAAUUACUUUUAUUAAGCGUGUAGAUAAGCUAAUUGACAUCAUGAACUCAAGGAUCUCUACAACAGCCUUAAGACCAAAUAGUUCUGACUAUAAAGUAAGAAAUUUCAUACUA